rnacentral:lncRNA from 1 species
CUGGAAUAGAAGUCAGACUCUGAACCUCAUUCUGGAUCCUGACACGCUUCAAUCCAGGACCACAUCAAAGGCUGUGAAAUCCUGAACUGAACAACACUUACCUGCUGGAUGAUCAGAGACAAACUGAAGAUUAUUGAACUUGGUGCCAUGAUGAAGAGAUCAUCAGUGCUGUUCAUGUAACGGGUGGUACACAGGCUCCAAGCUGAGGAAGAGAGGAGGGCUCCCUGCAGGAGGAAGGAAGCGUUUGUGGGUUGGUUCUGGUCGGGACAGACCUCGCUCCACACUGACGCACACAGAGGCCACAGCACAGACACAUGCUCAGGAACAGUGGGGUGUCAGCGGUCUGCCAGAGCAUCAGCUUGUUGGACGUCUCUGCUCUUGACACGGUGCAGAUUUUGGUUUAAUUGUAGAUUUCUUGUCUUUGUCCGUCAUUAAUCAGAAUUGUUUUUCUGAAAUCAAUUGAUUCACUUUUACCCACCUUCACUUGAUCAGCUGGACAGUGGCCUGUGUAACAUUCAGUUCACCUGUCAUGCUAAGACUGAUAACGACAUGACGCCAUCUGCUGGACACAAAUAAAACAACAUUUAAUGACGUGACGGGUAAAAGA